rnacentral:misc_RNA from 1 species
AGCAGCCGCGGUAAUUCCAGCUCCAAUAGCGUAUAUUAAAGUUGCUGCAGUUAAAAAGCUCGUAGUUGAAUUUCGGGACCAUCAUGUUGGUCGUGCCUCGGUACGUACUGGCAUUGUUGGUUUCUCCCUUCUGACGAACCAUGAUGUCAUUUAUUUGGUGUCGUGGGAAAUCAGGACUGUUACUUUGAAAAGAUUAGAGUGUUUAAAGCAGGCUCACGCUUGAAUACAUUAGCAUGGAAUAAUGAAAUAGGACGUUUGAUUCUAUUUUGUUGGUUUCUAGGAUCGACGUAAUGAUUAAUAGGGAUAGUUGGGGGCAUUAGUAUUCAAUUGUCUGAGGUGAAAUUCUUGGAUUUAUUGAAGACUAACUACUGCGAAAGCAUUUGCCAAGGAUGUUUUCAUUAAUCAAGAACGAAAGUUAGGGGAUCGAAGACGAUCAGAUACCGUCGUAGUCUUAACCAUAAACUAUGCCGACUAGGGAUCGGAUGAUGUUAAUUUUAAUGACUUCAUUC